AUAUUUUGAAGUGGAGAACGUGCUGCCAUACACCUGCGUAUGCGGGUUAUAAAGAGAUGCGGGAGAAGGCACACCCGCCGAAAUAU
rnacentral:ncRNA from 1 species